CCUACGGGUGGCAGCAGUGGGGAAUAUUGGGCAAUGGGCGCAAGCCUGACCCAGCAACGCCGCGUGAAGGAAGAAGGCUUUCGGGUUGUAAACUUCUUUUCUCAGGGACGAAGCAAGUGACGGUACCUGAGGAAUAAGCCACGGCUAACUACGUGCCAGCAGCCGCGGUAAUACGUAGGUGGCAAGCGUUAUCCGGAUUUACUGGGUGUAAAGGGCGUGUAGGCGGGGACGCAAGUCAGAUGUGAAAACCACGGGCUCAACCUGUGGCCUGCAUUUGAAACUGUGUUUCUUGAGUACUGGAGAGGCAGACGGAAUUCCUAGUGGAGCGGUGAAAUGCGUAGAUAGUAGGGGGGACCCCAGUGGCGAAGGCGGUCUGCUGGACAGCAACUGACGCCGGGGCGCGAAAGCGUUGGGAGCAAACAGGAUUAGAUACCCGUGUAGUC
rnacentral:rRNA from 1 species